AUGGUAUUUAUAAUACAGAUAUCAAUGAUUAUUAGACAUUUCACAUUUAUGCAGAUAAUUUACCUAAAUUAUUUCUCUACAGUUCGAGGCUUUUCAUCAGAAGAAGCUUUUGAGAAGUACAUUAAGUACAAAUAUAAGAAUGUUCAUGUGCUGGCUGCUAUUGUUUUUGAUCAUAACUUCAAAAACAGCAAUGAUAGAUUGCCGCUGAAGGUAAAAUAUCGCCUGCGUUUUAGUAAUUUUAGUGAUCCCUCUAAUCAUCCAUAUAAAUUAUUCCAAAGAAAGACAGAGUGGCAUACAUCUAUUCUCUUUCCAAGAGUACCUACUCUAGGACCCAGAAACCCAGAUGAAGCAGAUGGGGGACAUCCUGGUUACAUCAAAGAAGGGUUCCUGGUUAUACAGCAUUCCUUAGAUAAGGCCAUCAUGAUAUAUCACAAUGGCAGAGAUGCAGAAAGGAUGUUUAAUAAUGCCAGCAUUUUGGCUCAGAGAUUUCCAUACCCUGCUUAUUAUCAUGAUAAUCAUAUGUGGUUAAUUUUGAAUAUCCUAUCCAUGAUGGUUUUACUUGCAUUUUCUCAAAAUGAACUUACCCUCAUCAGGAUCAUCACAUUAGAAAAAGAAAGGGGAUUAAAGGAGUACCAACUUGUGGCAGGACUCAAGAAUUGGAUGCUCUGGGCUACAUAUUUUGUUACAGCCUUAUUACUGUGUAUAUGUAUCACCUCUGUACUGCACAUGGCUUUAUUUCUCAAGCUGCUUUUGCUGUUGCUUUUGGCGGUUUCCUCUAUUUUCUCAACUUGCCAUAUGUGAUCAUCAGUGGAGAAUACAUACAUGCGAUGAGCCUCAGGAAGAAGCUCUUUCCUUGUCUCUUUUUAAAUACUGCUUUACGUAUGGGGAUUGAUUUACUAAUCAAGAUGGAAAUGAAGGGUGAGUCUUUCCUUUGUAAAAAUGCCUUUGAUGAUUUUAUUCCCAAUAAGAAAAGACAGGUGAAGUGGUGUUGGGGUAGGGUAGUUAGUGAGGGGUGAUUUUAGUGUUUCUUAGAUAUAGUACUAGGACUAUACUGUUUAUCACAGAAGUUAUAUAUGUAUACUGAAUAUAAAU
rnacentral:lncRNA from 1 species